rnacentral:rRNA from 1 species
CUUGAACGCUGGCGGCAGGCCUAACACAUGCAAGUCGCGCGGAUGCACUGAGCUUGCUCCUGGAUUCCGCGGCGGACGGGUGAGUAAUGCCUACGAAUCUGCCUGUUAGUGGGGUCUAACGUCCGGAAACGGGCGCUCAUACCGCAUACGUCCUGAGGGUGCCCGAGGGGGAUCUUCGGACCUCACGCUAUCAGAUGAGCCUAGGUCGGAUUAGCUAGUUGGUGGGGUAAAGGCCUACCAAGGCGACGAUCCGUAACUGGUAUGAGAGGAUGAUCAGUCACACUGGAACUGAGACACGGUCCAAACUCCUACGGGAGGCAGCAGUGGGGAAUAUUGGACCAUGGGCGGAAGCCUGAUCCAGCCGUGACGCGUGUGAGAAGAAGGUCUGCGGAUUGUAAAGCACUUUAAGUUGGGGGGAAGGGCAGUAAGUUAAGACCUGGCUGUUUUGACGUUACCAACAGAAUAAGCACCGGGUAAGGUCGUG